CAGUCGCCGCGGUAAUACGAAGGGGGCUAGCGUUGUUCGGAUUUACUGGGCGUAAAGGGCGCGUAGGCGGACUGAUAAGUCAGGGGUGAAAUCCCAAGGCUCAACCUUGGAACUGCCUUUGAUACUGUUUGUCUUGAGUUCGAGAGAGGUAAGUGGAACCGCGAGUGUAGAGGUGAAAUUCGUAGAUAUUCGCAAGAACACCAGUGGCGAAGGCGGCGACCUGGUCUUUUACUGACGCUGAGGCGCGAAAGCGUGGGGAGCAAACAGGAUUAGAUACCCCAGUAGUCCCUGUCUCUUAUAA
rnacentral:rRNA from 1 species